rnacentral:rRNA from 1 species
GACGAACGCUGGCGGCGUGCUUAACACAUGCAAGUCGAACGGAAAGGCCCUGCUUUUGUGGGGUGCUCGAGUGGCGAACGGGUGAGUAACCCGUGAGUAACCUGCCCUUGACUUUGGGAUAACUUCAGGAAACUGGGGCUAAUACCGGAUAGGAGCUCCUGCUGCAUGGUGGGGGUUGGAAAGUUUCGGCGGUUGGGGAUGGACUCGCGGCUUAUCAGCUUGUUGGUGGGGUAGUGGCUUACCAAGGCUUUGACGGGUAGCCGGCCUGAGAGGGUGACCGGCCACAUUGGGACUGAGAUACGGCCCAGACUCCUACGGGAGGCAGCAGAGGGGAAUAUUGCACAAUGGGCGGAAGCCUGAUGCAGCAACGCCGCGUGCGGGAUGACGGCCUUCGGGUUGUAAACCGCUUUCGCCUGUGACGAAGCGUGAGUGACGGUAAUGGGUAAAGAAGCACCGGCUAACUACGUG